rnacentral:rRNA from 1 species
UACGAAGGGGGCUAGCGUUGCUCGGAAUUACUGGGCGUAAAGGGAGCGUAGGCGGACAUUUAAGUCAGAGGUGAAAUCCCGGAGCUUAACUUCGGAACUGCCUUUGAUACUGGGUGUCUUGAGUGUGAGAGAGGUAUGUGGAACUCCGAGUGUAGAGGUGAAAUUCGUAGAUAUUCGGAAGAAACACCAGUGGCGAAGGCGACAUACUGGCUCAUUACUGACGCUGGAGGCUCGAAAAGCGUGGGGAGGCAAACAGG